AUCAAGUUCAUCAUCAGAUCCAUUCACUUUCCUGCACCUUUGGAAGGUGGCACGCUACACAGGUGAGGAAGAGUUCACAUUUUCCUCAGAAGAAGAGCGGGACUCCAAUGAUGAACAUUUGAAGAGCGACUUGGUCUAGGCAAGGAUACAAUUUCGGAUGAGAACGGCAGAUUCCAUUCUCUUUACAGAGCACCAUGACCUGCGUGUAUGAACAUAGGCCUUGAUCCUGGAGGAUUUUUCAUGUUUUCCUCCAUCAAAGGUUUCCCAGUCGUACAAGUGAACUACCGGGAGAAAGAAAGCAAGAAAGAAAAAAAAAAAGCAAGCAAGAAAAAAAGAAGAUUCAAAGAACAUUUGGUGCAUAAAGCAUUUGAUGCAAAAACCGACCAAUAGAUGGAGACAGAACAACGAGGAGAG